AACACCGCGAAAGCGGUGCUAAUACCGCAUAACAUCUUCGGGUCGCAUGACCUGAAGAUCAAAAGCGCAAGUUGCUUGAGGAGGGGUUCGCGCCUGAUUAGCUAGUUGGUGAGGUAACGGCCCACCAAGGCGACGAUCAGUAGCCGGCCUGAGAGGGCGAACGGCCACACUGGAACUGAGACACGGUCCAGACUCCUACGGGAGGCAGCAGUGGGGAAUUUUGCGCAAUGGGCGAAAGCCUGACGCAGCAACGCCGCGUGGAGGAUGAAGGCCUUCGGGUCGUAAACUCCUGUCAGUGGGGACGAAUGCUUCGCAAGAAGUUUGACUGUACCCGCUGAGGAAGCCACGGCUAACUCCGUGCCAGCAGCCGCGGUAAUACGGAGGUGGCAAGCGUUGUUCGGAAUUACUGGGCGUAAAGGGCGCGUAGGCGGCAUUGCAAGUCAGAUGUGAAAGCCCCGGGCUUAACCUGGGAAUUGCAUCUGAAACUGUUUUGCUUGAGUCCUGGAGGGGAUAGUGGAAUUCCCAGUGUAGCGGUGAAAUGCGUAGAUAUUGGGAGGAACACCUGCGGCGAAGGCGGCUAUCUGGACAGUGACUGACGCUGAUGCGCGAAAGCUAGGGGAGCGAACGGGAUUAGAUACCCCGGUAGUCCUAGCUGUAAACGAUG
rnacentral:rRNA from 1 species